rnacentral:rRNA from 1 species
AGUGAACGCUGGCGGUAGGCCUAACACAUGCAAGUCGAACGGCAGCACAGUAAGAGCUUGCUCUUACGGGUGGCGAGUGGCGGACGGGUGAGGAAUACAUCGGAAUCUACUUUUUCGUGGGGGAUAACGUAGGGAAACUUACGCUAAUACCGCAUACGACCUACGGGUGAAAGCAGGGGAUCUUCGGACCUUGCGCGAUUGAAUGAGCCGAUGUCGGAUUAGCUAGUUGGCGGGGUAAAGGCCCACCAAGGCGACGAUCCGUAGCUGGUCUGAGAGGAUGAUCAGCAACACUAGAACUAAGACACGGUCCAAACUCCUACGCGAGGCAGCAGUGGGGAAUAUUGGCCAAUGGGCGCAAGCCUGAUCCAGCCAUUCCGCGUGCGUGAAGAAGGCCUUCGGGUUGUAAAGCCCUUUUGUUGGGAAAGAAGAGCAGCAGGUUAAUACCCCGCUGUUCUGACGGUACCCCAAGAAUAAGCACCGGCUAACAUCGU